UACGUAGGGUGCGAGCGUUGUCCGGAAUUAUUGGGCGUAAAGAGCUUGUAGGCGGUCUGUCGCGUCUGCUGUGAAAAAUCCAGGGCUCAACCCUGGACCUGCAGUGGGUACGGGCAGACUAGAGUGCGGUAGGGGAGAUCGGAAUUCCUGGUGUAGCGGUGAAAUGCGCAGAUAUCAGGAGGAACACCGGUGGCGAAGGCGGGUCUCUGGGCCGAUACUGACGCUGGAGGAGCGAAAGCGUGGGGAGCGAACAGG
rnacentral:rRNA from 1 species